rnacentral:rRNA from 1 species
GAUGAACGCUGGCGGCGUGCCUAAUACAUGCAAGUCGAGCGAACAGACGAGGAGCUUGCUCCUCUGACGUUAGCGGCGGACGGGUGAGUAACACGUGGAUAACCUACCUAUAAGACUGGGAUAACUUCGGGAAACCGGAGCUAAUACCGGAUAAUAUAUUGAACCGCAUGGUUCAAUAGUGAAAGACGGUUUUGCUGUCACUUAUAGAUGGAUCCGCGCCGCAUUAGCUAGUUGGUAAGGUAACGGCUUACCAAGGCAACGAUGCGUAGCCGACCUGAGAGGGUGAUCGGCCACACUGGCACUGAGACACGGUCCAGACUCCUACGGGAGGCAGCAGUAGGGAAUCUUCCGCAAUGGGCGAAAGCCUGACGGAGCAACGCCGCGUGAGUUAUGAAGGUCUUCGGAUCGUAAAACUCUGUUAUUAGGGAAGAACAAAUGUGUAAGUAACUAUGCACGUCUUGACGGUACCUAAUCAGAAAGCCACGGCUAACUACGUG